rnacentral:rRNA from 1 species
AUGAACGCUGGCGGCGUGCCUAACACAUGCAAGUCGAACGAAGCACCUCGCCCGAUGAAGAGGAGAGCUUGCUCAAAUCGGAAUCAAUUGAGGUGACUUAGUGGCGGACGGGUGAGUAACGCGUGGGUAACCUGCCGUAUACAGGGGGAUAACAGUUAGAAAUGACUGCUAAUACCGCAUAAGCGCACGGUAUCGCAUGAUACAGUGUGAAAAGCCGAGACGGUAUACGAUGGACCCGCGUCUGAUCAGCCAGUUGGCAGGGUAACGGCCUACCAAAGCAACGAUCAGUAGCCGGCCUGAGAGGGUGAACGGCCACAUUGGGACUGAGACACGGCCCAAACUCCUACGGGAGGCAGCAGUGGGGGAUAUUGCACAAUGGGGGAAACCCUGAUGCCAGCGACGCCGCGUGAGCGAAGAAGUAUUUCGGUAUGUAAAGCUCUAUCAGCAGGGAAGAAAAUGACGGUACCUGACUAAGAAGCUCCGGCUAAAUACGUGCCAGCCGCAGC